UGAGAGCAACAGGGACCUCUGCAACAAAG
rnacentral:piRNA from 1 species